AGUGAACGCUGGCGGUAGGCCUAACACAUGCAAGUCGAACGGCAGCACAGUAAGAGCUUGCUCUUACGGGUGGCGAGUGGCGGACGGGUGAGGAAUACAUCGGAAUCUACUUUUUCGUGGGGGAUAACGUAGGGAAACUUACGCUAAUACCGCAUACGACCUACGGGUGAAAGCAGGGGAUCUUCGGACCUUGCGCGAUUGAAUGAGCCGAUGUCGGAUUAGCUAGUUGGCGGGGUAAAGGCCCACCAAGGCGACGAUCCGUAGCUGGUCUGAGAGGAUGAUCAGCCACACUGGAACUGAGACACGGUCAAGACUCCUACGGGAGGCAGCAGUGGGGAAUAUUGGACAAUGGGCGCAAGCCUGAUCCAGCCAUACCGCGUGGGUGAAGAAGGCCUUCGGGUUGUAAAGCCCUUUUGUUGGGAAAGAAAAGCAGCAGGUUAAUACCCCGCUGUUCUGACGGUACCCAAAGAAUAAGCACCGGCUAACUUCCUG
rnacentral:rRNA from 1 species